rnacentral:lncRNA from 1 species
AUAUACUUCUUUUCCACGUUCUACCUUAAGCUGAAAAUUAGACUUUUAGGCAAGGAUAGAUUGGCACACUUACCUUGCAUCUUUUGCCGAGUCAAAUAAAGGAUCUAUGGAGGAAAGUGUCAUACUUCUAGAUUGAGAAUGUGCUCGUGUGUGGUAUUAUUGUGGGCUAGAAUGCUCCUUUCUCUAAUUAAAAUCUCCUUUCUCUUUAUUCUAUUGAGACAGGCUAUCGAUAUUCUUUUUCUUCUUUUCUCUCAUGAGUCUUCAUGUGCCCAUUUUUUUAAACCUUCAUGUGCCCAAUUUUUUUUCUGUUUUUGUGCCCAUUGGUUCAGGCUAAUAACAGGUUAGCCAACAUAUGGCCACCUGGUAAAGAUUUUAAAGCUGAAAUUAUGGAGACAAAUAGGUUGAAAAUGUCGUAUCCAAUUUGCUUCUAGAACCUUUAAAUGAGUGUUAUUAUACCAAACUUUAAGCUAAACAAUGGU